AUUGAACGCUGGCGGCAUGCCUUACACAUGCAAGUCGAACGGCAGCGGACCUUCGGGUGCCGGCGAGUGGCGAACGGGUGAGUAAUAUAUCGGAACGUACCUUUCAGUGGGGGAUAACGUAGCGAAAGUUACGCUAAUACCGCAUAUUCUGUGAGCAGGAAAGCAGGGGAUCGCAAGACCUUGCGCUGAUUGAGCGGCCGAUAUCAGAUUAGCUAGUUGGUGAGGUAAAGGCUCACCAAGGCGACGAUCUGUAGCGGGUCUGAGAGGAUGAUCCGCCACACUGGAACUGAGACACGGUCCAGACUCCUACGGGAGGCAGCAGUGGGGAAUUUUGGACAAUGGGCGCAAGCCUGAUCCAGCCAUGCCGCGUGAGUGAAGAAGGCCUUCGGUUGGUAAGUACGUCUUUCGGUCCGGGU
rnacentral:rRNA from 1 species